rnacentral:rRNA from 1 species
AACGCACAUUGCGCCCUUUGGUAUUCCGAGGGGCAUGCCUGUUCGAGCGUCAUUAUAACCACUCAAGCCUUGGCUUGGUAUUGGGGUUCGCGGUUUCGCGGCUCUUAAAAUCAGUGGCGGUGCCGUCUGGCUCUAAGCGUAGUAAUUUUUCUCGCUAUAGGGUCCCGGUGGUGGCUUUUUAUUAAGUUGACUCCUCUUAAAUACAUUAGCUCAGUGUUUAAUGCUUAGAGCGGUUCACGGUGUGAUAAUUAUCUACACUUCAACCAAUUUAAGUUAGCUGGCUUCUAAUCGAUCCUUAGUGAUCACUUUGUGUAUUUGACCUCAAAUCAGGUAGGACUACCCGCUGAACUUAA